rnacentral:tRNA from 1 species
CCUGAUGGUUCAGUUGGUAAAGAAUCUGCUUGCAAUGCAGGAAUCCCUGGUUCGAUUCCUGGGUCAGGA